rnacentral:rRNA from 1 species
CCUACGGGAGGCAGCAGUGAGGAAUAUUGGUCAAUGGACGAGAGUCUGAACCAGCCAAGUAGCGUGAAGGAUGACUGCCCUAUGGGUUGUAAACUUCUUUUAUAAAGGAAUAAAACGAGGCACGUGUGCCUUUUUGCAUGUACUUUAUGAAUAAGGAUCGGCUAACUCCGUGCCAGCAGCCGCGGUAAUACGGAGGAUCCGAGCGUUAUCCGGAUUUAUUGGGUUUAAAGGGAGCGUAGAUGGGUUGUUAAGUCAGUUGUGAAAGUUUGCGGCUCAACCGUAAAAUUGCAAUUGAUACUGGCAGUCGUGAGUACAGUUGAGGUAGGCGGAAUUCGUGGUGUAGCGGUGAAAUGCUUAGAUAUCACGAAGAACCCCGAUUGCGAAGGCAGCUUACUAAACUGUGACUGACAUUGAUGCUCGAAAGUGUGGGUAUCAAACAGGAUUAGAUACCCCAGUAGUG